ACCUUAACAUAUUGUAAGUAAGUGAUAGAAUUAGGUGAAAAAGAACCCUAAUUAAGCAAAUAUUACUAAUACAAAAUAACCCUAAUUAAGCGAAUAUUUUCAUGAUAACAUGCGAAGAAAUGAAGUACAUGCCACGGAGGUAUUGGGUGACUCUCCUUGUCAUGAUUGCUGGCAGCACGUGGCCAGAGGAGCCGCGGGUCCCACGGCGUGAGUUGUGCUCCACAUGCCGCCAAGGCGCAUGUUGCUGUGGAUCGACCAGAGGUGGGGCCUCACGUCGCCCUCAUCAUCGUCCACUUCCCACUCCCGAUGAUUGAUGUAGACAGAAUAAACAAAGCAGGGAGGAGAAGAUGAUCGCCAACCCUUCCUUUCGUAAUGUCCCUUCUGAACCAAUUUUAAUCGCAUUCAUCGUGAUGCCUGCAUUAUGAAGAUGGUCACACCUGUACUUCACCAAGUGUUUGGUGGAGAAGAUGAACAGUGGAAGGAUAGAUCAUUGAUCCAAGUAGCCGUUGAGGUGAGUCCAAGGCUGUCGCUUCCUGCAACGGGCGUCUCCCAGCGCGAGUAUGACCUAAACCUCUGCAUUCAUCAUGCCCACGCUGUCCUGUUCUGCAAGCUUUACGGGGAUGAGAUAACAGUGAAACAUAAUGGGUUUGGAUGAGCCAAGCGAACAGAAUCCAUUAAAGAGGCAAGAGGCUGGUGCAAGGCUGCAGCCAGUGGGGAAAAGAGGAAGGGACAAGAGUGACCUGCAGACGUCCUUUGUCUGUCUUGUUCACUGCAAACUUGCCUGUACAUGUGUUAUCCCUGCAUUGAUACUGAUGCACAUCGAAGCAUCCAUGGUGAGAUCAUUAUUACCCUCAGGGUAUGAGAAGGAUGAUAGAGAAGCCUUCUGAACAUGGACUUCCGAGUGGUGUACCUAUUAAACCACUACAUAAACCCAGUAGAAAUACAGCAACAUUAGGUGAUGAUUCUUCUACCUAAUCCUAUCCUUUUUUACUAUAAAAUGGUAAAAGAAAGGAAGCGUCUGGACAAUUUUAUAUCAUAAAUCAAAAUCAUUGUUUUGUUCACCAUCAGUACCUCUAUAAAGACACCUGAGC
rnacentral:lncRNA from 1 species